GUGCCAGCCGCCGGGGUCACACCGGCAGCCCGAGUGAUGGCCGAUAUUAUUGGGCCUAAAGCGUCCGUAGCUGGCCGCACAAGUCCGUCGAGAAAUCCACUCGCUUAACGAGUGGGCGUCAGGCGGAAACUGUGCGGCUUGGGACCGGAAGAUCCGAGGGGUACGUCUGGGGUAGGAGUGAAAUCCCGUAAUCCUGGACGGACCACCGAUGGCGGAAGCACCUCGGAAGGACGGAUCCGACAGUGAGGGACGAAAGCUAGGGUCUCGAACCGGAUUAGAAACCCGGGUCGCC
rnacentral:rRNA from 1 species